AGAAAAAGGCAACUGAAGAAAACAAUCACGCAGCCUCUGAAUAAACUGCUGCAGCGGUUCAAUGACUAUUUUCUUGAGAAACAGAGGGAUGAUGAGUGGAUACGCAACCCCUUUGGAGGUGACAUUAAAAGCGUCACAUUGCCCAGCAACGAGGAGAGUCAGUUGGUGGAGCUGUCAUGUGACUGUGAUGUUCUGUGUUUUUGUUUUGAUUGGAUUUAUGUUGUUUAAUGCUUUGUCUAGUUUUCCGGUCACAUGUUCAUGUCUUGUGUGCUCAUUUGGUUAUUGUGUCCACCUGUUCUCGUCAUUACUCUACCUUGUGUCUAUCAACUCCCUCCAGCCACUGGUGUCUUGUCCAGAGGUUCCUCCUUGUCUUGUCAGUUUGCUUGUAUUUAGUUCCCUGUUUUCUUUCAGUCCUUGUUGGUUCAUUGUUAAUGUAGAUUUGUCGUCUGUCGUCAGUUGUCAUGUUUCUUUGGUCAUGUCGUGUUUCUUAUUGCCUCCAACCUGCAAACUUUACAGAAUCAACCAACCACAAAAGGACCCAGCGGGAAGCACACAGCGUCGUCCUGCACGCUGCCAGUCUGGUUGUCCUCGGCUUCAGUCUGCCGACCACCCCUGCCCUCCUCAAUCACGUCCACCCAAACCUGCCCUCAAGUCACCUCAUUCCAUUCCAAAUUCUUCACUUCGUCUCGUAGCACCUGUGUUCCCAUAGUUCACCUUCCCUAAUUCCUGGACACUCUGCCCCUGUUCCCUGUGUUCCCUAACCUCUAUUGAGGAAGGCUGAAAAGGCUGGUGCAGACCCCGUACCAGCUCCUUGACAGCUCCAGGAUCCCAUGUCUGCUCCUUGGAAGCUGCAGAAGGCUCCCGUUCCUGCUCCACUGCAGCUGCAGCAGGCUCCCGUUCAUGCUUCCCGGCAGCUGCAGCAGGCUCCCGUUGCUGUUCCUCAUUAGCUACAGCAGGCUCCCGUUCCUGCUCCUCGGCAGCUGCAGAAGGCUCCUAUUCCUGCUCCUUAGCAGCUGCAGCAGGCUCCUUUUCCUGCUCCUUGGCAGUUGCAGCAGACUCCCGUUCCUUCUCCUCGGCAGCUGCAGCAGGCUCCUGUUCCUACUUCUUGGUAGUUGCAGCAGGCUCCCAUUCCUGCUCCUCGGCAGCUGCAGCAGGCUCCCGUUCCUGUUCCUGGGCAGACACAGCAGGCUCCAGUUACUCCUCCUCAGCAGCUGCAGCAAGCUCGCGUUCCUGCUCCUCGGCAACUGCAGCAUGCCCCCGUUCCUGCUCCUUGGCAGCUGCAGGCUCCAGCUCUAGCGGUGCUCAUCCAGCGGCCACCACCCGAACCUGCUCCAGUGGUGUACGCUGUGCGGCCGCCACCCCAACCUGCUCCGGUGAUGCUCGUCCAGCGGCCGCCACACUUCCUUGCGCCGGCGGUGCUCGUCCAGCAGCUGCCAAUUAUACUUGCUCCGGUGGUGCUCGUCCAGCGGCUGCCACCCGACCCUCACACCUGAUCCCGGCAUUGACGUUUGGUCCGUCAUCAUGGCAGUCCGCCUGAAUGCGCAGAUAGAAACGUCCUGGCCAACCUCCUGAACGGCCUAGCCAAGCACCUCACACCUGGCGUCCUGGACGGCCACCAGACUGGCCCUAAUGGCAUAUGCUGAACCUGCCUCCAGGCCCCGUUCCACCCACCUUGUUGUGGGAAUUUUUGUUGUGACUUGGGGACAUCAGGAAUUUGUCCCUUUUCGGGCUGGGGUGGUGGUUGGGGGGUAGGGGUUGUGGGUCAUGAUCUGUGUUUUUGUUUUGAUUAGAUUUUGUUUGUCUCAUGUUUUGUCUAGUUUUUCAGUCACAUGUUCAUGUCUUGUGUGCUCGUUUGGUUAUUGUGUCCACCUGUUCUCAUCUGCACUGGUGUCAAAAUAUUUGCUCCCUCCAACCACUGGUGUCGCUUCCAGGAGUUCCUAUUGUCCUGUCAGUUUUCUUGUAUUUAGUUACCUGGUUUCUUUCAGACCUUGUUGGUUCGUUGUCGAUAUUGAUUUAUUGUCUGUUGUCAGUUGUCAUGUUUCUUUGGUCCUGUCAUAUUUCUUACUGCCUCCAACCUCCGAACUUGACGUUGACUAUAUGUUGAAGACAAAAUUCACUGAGAUAAGCCUCUCCCUAUUCUGGUGCAGAGCUGUGAUGACUGAAUAUUUUUCCCUUGCCACUCGAGCAGUCUGGUUCAGCUGAAGACCAAAAACAGAAACAGACUGUACAUGACCUCAGAGUUUCCUUGUCAACUAUAAUGCCAGACUUUGAUAGUCUUAUCAGGAGCAAAAAACAUCUCCAGUGUUCCUAAUAAUUCUGAAAAACCCAAGUCAAGGUUCAGUGUUAUUUGGUAUUGACCAACUAUUACAUUACUGUAAAUAUAUAAUAAUUGUAUAAUAAUUGAAGUGUUAUUAUUUACACUUGCAUUUUGUGUACUUGAAUGUCACAUUGAUUAAUAUUUGGAGUUUGUGUAUUAAAAACUAAUGCACUUUUAUUUCCUGUUUGUGCAAUGCUAUUGAAGUUAGAUUAAUUUGUUGUGUCCUCAAGAUUCACUUUUUGUUUAAUUAAAAUUCAGCCACUUGAGUGUUCAAGGAAAUAGUUUCCUGUUAUCGCUACAAUUUUUAUUUUUUUCUUUAAAUUAAAAUUUUGUGUUUAUUGGCACACAGUCAUAUUUUGUAAUGCAGGUUCAAACUUCAACAGGUUUUCAUUAAAUUGACACGUUGAAAUCUGGGUCGUGGCUUGUCUGUAAGGAGUGAUGGUUGGUCCCGAAGCCUGACUAGUUGAGAACCACUGUAUUAAAGUAUUUAAAUGAAAAUCUUAACAAAGUGUGGAUAAUCACUAACUUCUGAAAAUACUUUAUGAAUGGUUAGGAAAUCAUGUUGCCCACAGUACAUAAGUAGAAGAGAUUCCUGGGGUCGACUUUGGGGGUGCGUAUUAUACACGAGAGCAUAUUAUAAAUGAGAAAUUAAGGUACAUAAAAUUAAGGAAAAAACACGGUAUUAAGUGAAGGGAUCACAUUUUAAUGAUGACUGAGUGAUUCUGAUGAGGACACCAAAGGCAAUUUAUUGUAAUAUUGACCCUUAAGUGUAGGCAAUAACUGUACAAUAAUCAAAUUCCGAUUAAUUCUUUGUGUUUUCUUGAUAUAUUGUCUCCACCUUGUUUUGACCGUAGUUGCUCUUGUUGCUUUGCCAUUAGUGUGUGAAUGAGCUGCCAUCAUUAGUGUUAGUGCCAGUGUUAGAGUGGAUGCAUGAUUAGGGUUGACAGUAAAGCAUUUUAAUACAUUUCUUUAAAUGCUAUAUAAAUGCUCACUUUCUUGUGAAAUUGAAACAUUAUAUA